AUGAGAGCAAGGGGAGAGACCUCCUUUGUGAGGCGCCGAAGGAGCAAGCAUAUGUGAAUCUCUCAGGCAAAAAGACUCUUGUUUGACG
rnacentral:ncRNA from 1 species